rnacentral:lncRNA from 1 species
CAACUGCACCAGCCCAGUCAUAAAUGGAUACCACAUGGUUUAUUAUACAGCUAAAAAAAAGGCACUUGCUUAACCUUAGUGUUUUCACAUCAAAACUGUCCCAAGUACCAAUCAUGUUUUCAACCAAAAAUACACAGGCAUUAACAGCCACACACUCCUACGUUGACCAAUGAAGUGAUCAAAAUACGUGACACUCGCUACCAAGGCGCCUUUUCCUCAUGACUACGAGAUUACCAUGAUAACACCCGGUGGUGUAAGUGGCUAUGUUAGUACUGUUGUGAAAUGAAUCACAAACAACUCAUUUAUAGUUCAUUAUAGGUACAUCUCUACAGGCAGAACCAUCUCACAGGUGGUGUGUGUGGCGAAGCUAGUAGUGCUGCAAAAUGAAUGAACAUCAAUCACAUGUGCGCAUCCAUAGUCAGCCAUAUUUUCUACAGGAUUUGACAGUGAACACUGCCAUGAAGUGUCGUAAGACAAAGCUUAACAAAAUCCAUAAAAACAACACUGCCUUUUGGAUAAGAUUCUAGAACCUGAAAUGAAAUGUAACCUCAACGAAGGAAAAUACACGAUAUGGUGACAUCCACAACAUACGACCUCCCAAUAAAACUUGAUUUUCCUUGGGGGAAUGCUCCUGCCUCAGUCCCAAGCCUUACAGCUCCACAAAUAAAAUAACGGCACACUGGCCAACCAAUCUUCAGCAAGAUUGCCAAAAAAGUGACAUCGAGCAGUCCUUGCAAGGAAGCCGCAGUUCUACACACCGUCAUUAGCAGAUUCUUAAAAAGAAGUUCAACAUAUGGACCUUCUGCAAAAUGGACAUGGACAUGUGAACUAUACCACUACUAAGGCAACUAAAAAGCACAAUAAAUACGGUAGUACGGAUAUUAUCAAGUACCUAACUAUUUAGUUACUUAUUUUGUUGAUAGCUGAUUUAAUACCGAAUAAAAGCUGUUAGUUGCAGCUUAGUCCAAAGAUAGGUUUCGGCAUGAGAUGAUUUCGGAUAACACAAGGAACUAUUUUUUAGUGUAUGAAAUAAUUUGCUUUAUACAUAUAUCUUGUCUGAGCCAAAGCAGGUAAACUAUCGACGAUACCAGAGUGAGAAACAUUCAUGGAAAAGAUUGGCAAUAUCAAUAAGCAGCAAAAACACUAUGUUUAGUACUCCUUACGUCCCAAAAUAAGUGUCCCUGAUUUAGUACAACUUAGUCAGAAGGUUGUUUUAGACAAAUUAAUUCCACCAAAAUUUAGAAGAAAUUGAUGUGCAUGAAGAACAUUUAACACCUGAGCCACAAACUACUUUUGAUGCCUAAUUUAGUGGCAAUUAAUAAUGCAUAUCGUCUGGGCAGCGGAAGUAUAAGUGUGAUGUAGCAAAGAAUAGUCUAGCUGAAACUGAAUCGUUUAUUUAACAAGUGACAUGGGAACCCUACCUUACAUCAUUACUAAGCUUUUCAUGUGAAGAAAAAACAUCAGCAACUAUCCCAAAGAAUAUAAUAUUUGCUCAUAUUGAUGCAGCAAAAAUUACAUACCAAUGAGUAAAUUCUGCAAGUAAAUUUUGAAUAGGAAGUGCUCAUUCCCAGAUAUCCAUGAGAGUCCAGGUGUGCAACGACAAAAAUGGUGUUUGUAUUCUUUCCUCAAAUUUAUUUGUUGCCAAAUUUCUGCAAGAGAGUUUUCAACCCAACUAAGGAGAUGAAUAAAAAAAGGCAAGAAGAAUGUGAAGUAUUCUAAUGUUUGGAGGCAAAGUGGAAGGGGUCGAAGCACGGAAAACCAAAUUCAAGUAUUUUUGUUACAUAAUUAGGACAAAUGAAUGUAUAUGAAAAACGUACUCUGAGACUUUGAGUGACUCUGGAGAAGAAUCCCCACCAUGAGAAGAAUCCAUCAUGACAGGUGGCAUACUUGCAGAUGACUUCCAACGGAACCCAGCCCUGUAC